rnacentral:rRNA from 1 species
GUGGGGAAUUUUGCGCAAUGGGCGAAAGCCUGACGGAGCAACGCCGCGUGAGUGAUGACGGCCUUCGGGUUGUAAAGCUCUGUUAUAUGGGACGAACGGGCAUGGGGCGAAUACCCUCAUGCAGUGACGGUACCGUAAGAGAAAGCCACGGCUAACUACGUGCCAGCAGCCGCGGUAAUACGUAGGUGGCAAGCGUUGUCCGGAAUUAUUGGGCGUAAAGGGCGUGUAGGCGGCCAGACAAGUCUGUCUUAAAAGUGCGGGGCUCAACCCCGUGAUGGGAUGGAAACGGUCGGGCUAGAGUGUCGGAGAGGAAAGCGGAAUUCCUAGUGUAGCGGUGAAAUGCGUAGAUAUUAGGAGGAACACCAGUGGCGAAAGCGGCUUUCUGGACGACAACUGACGCUGAGGCGCGAAAGCCAGGGGAGCAAACGGGAUUAGAUACCCGGGUAGUCC